GAAGAAAUACUGUUGACAUAGGAGGGGACUAAAUAGAGGGACCGAGGCUGUCAGAGCUGCCAGAGGUGGCUUGGUAGACUCCUUGAAAUAACUGAAAGAGGGAUGGCUGCUUCCCAGAGCCCCCUCCUUUCCCACCCAAGGGCCUGAGGGCCCAUGUCUUUGGGGUCACUUCCCCUCUGCAGCCCCUCCUACUAGGACUCUUAGUGCUUCCUUCAAUCAUUCAUUACUGUUGAGUCUGUAUAAGGGGAUGGGGGCGGGGCAGGACAGAUGGGGGGUAGAGAAGGUAAUGUGAAGGGGCUAGGUGGCCCUGAGGACCUGAAUCUGCAGACAGCAACAGGCCAAAGAUAGGCAGCUGCUUGGCCUCUGCUAACCUCCUGUGUGUCUCUCCUUUCAGGAAGUUUCUGAUUUCCAUUCUCUCUCUCUUUGAUGCCUUUCUUCCUGAGGGUCCUAAAGCAUUUCCACAGCCCCUGGGUGCAGGGAGAGCAGAUUGAGGAGGAGGAGGAGGAGGAGGAAGAGGAGGAAAUGUGGGCAUGGGCCAGCAGCAGGGCCAGUAGCACUUUGUGACACCUGAUGGCAGAUGCACCUUUUAGAAUCCAAUCCCUAACAUUAGAUUCUUCCUCAAUCUUGGACACUUUGUGAGUUUUCUGUUUCGUUUGCUUUGAUUUUGAUUUGGGGGCCACAUUCAGCAGAGCUGGGGGUAGGGGACUAUUCCCGGUAAUGAUGCUUAGAUCCUGUGGAGUUCCUGGGCUUGAACCCGGGCCUUCCAUAUACACAGCAUGUGCUGGAUUCUUUGAGCAUCUCUCCGGCUCCUUCCACCCUGCAUCCUCUGGGAGUCUGGACCUGGCACCUGCAGAUGUGAUGGCAGCCUGAAGAGGGAGACAGCCAAUAGUUGCAGGAACUUUCCCUCAAAUGUGUCUGCCUGUGUCCUCCUUUCUCCACUUCCCACCUCCCCAUCUGGGGGCUUUAUGCUUCUAUGGGAUUUCUUCCCCUAUUUAAAAUAAUGUUUUCUUAUCUUACAACCCAACUUCCCAUAGCUUCUCUGGGUUGAUACUAUUCACCUAAGAGGUAAAUGGCCCAAUGAUUCCACCAUAGAGAAUUUCUGUUUUAGAAAUGACUUGCUUAGGGCCGGAGAGAUGGCAUGGCAGUAAGGCAUUUGCCUUGCAUGCAGAAGGAUGGUGGUUCGAAUCCCGGCAUCCCAUAUGCUUCUCAAUCCAAACUUACAAGCAUGAACUUAAAUUUCUCCUUGUUACUCUCUCCUUAGGAAACCAUGUUCACAAUCUCUUGAAACAAACUUGAAAGCAAAUAACCUUUGGAAGACACUUUAAAGACAA